UCUCUCUCUCUCUCUCUCUCUCUCAUCUUAUACAGUUUCGGAAAGGCAAAAGCUAUGGCGAAGUUGUUGCCAGAACAAGAACACCCUGUAAAGGCCUUUGGAUGGGCAGCUAGAGAUCAAUCUGGUCAUCUUUCUCCCUUCGUUUUCUCAAGAAGAGCUACUGGUGAGGAAGAUGUAAGGUUUAAGGUGUUGUUUUGUGGGAUUUGCCAUACUGAUCUUCACAACUUGAAGAAUGACUGGGGUGUGUCUAUGUACCCUAUUGUUCCCGGGCAUGAAAUUGUAGGGGAAGUGACCGAGGUUGGGAGCAAGGUGAAAAAUGUGAAGGUGGGAGACAAAGUGGGAAUAGGGUGCAUGGUGGGUGCAUGUCAUUCUUGCGACAACUGUAACAAUGACCUUGAGAAUUACUGUCCCAAGAUGAUACUCACCUACAAUUCCAUUUACUCCGAUGGAACAAUCACUUAUGGAGGCUAUUCAGAUCACAUGAUCGUUAAUCAGCGUUACGUUGUCAAUUUCCCGGAAAAUAUGCCACUUGAUGCUGGUGCUCCUCUCCUUUGUGCUGGGAUCACAG
rnacentral:misc_RNA from 1 species